AACGAACGCUGGCGGCAUGCCUAACACAUGCAAGUCGAACGAGACCUUCGGGUCUAUUGGCGCACGGGUGCGUAACGCGUGGGAACCUGCCUUUAGGUUCGGAAUAACUCAGAGAAAUUUGAGCUAAUACCGGAUGAUGUCUUCGGACCAAAGAUUUAUCGCCUUUCGAUGGGCCCGCGUUGGAUUAGCUAGUUGGUAGGGUAAAGGCAUACCAAGGCGACGAUGCAUAGCUGGUCUGAGAGGAUGAUCAGCCACACUGGGACUGAGACACGGCCCAGACUCCUACGGGAGGCAGCAGUGGGGAAUAUUGGACAAUGGGCGAAAGCCUGAUCCAGCAAUGCCGCGUGAGUGAUGAAGGCAGUAGGGUUGUAAUGCUCUUGUAACCGAGAUGAUAAUGACAGUAUCGGGAGAAUAAGCCACGGCUAACUCCGUG
rnacentral:rRNA from 1 species